GGAAUAUUCCACAAUGCAUUAAAUCAGGCCAUACAUAAAAUAAUUAUGACACUAGAGUUUUAUUAUUCUACCUAUGACCUAUGUGCACAUAACCCUUCUUGCUUCUUCCUGGUUAUAGUUCUAUUACUAGAUCAUUAUAAAUUUUUCUCCGGAAAGAAAUUAGGGGAAAUUGGCUUGACAACAAUUUCUAGAUUAAAUUAGCACUGAAGGUGACAAAGUGAAGCACUUGUCCUUCUGGACAGC
rnacentral:lncRNA from 1 species